rnacentral:rRNA from 1 species
CGGGGUGCAGCAGGCGCGAAAACUUCGCAAUGCACGAAAGUGCGACGAGGCUACUUCGAGUGCCGUCCGCUGAGGAUGGCUUUUGCCAAGUCUAAAUAGCUUGGAGAAUAAGGGGAGGACAAGUCUGGUGUCAGCCGCCGCGGUAAUACCAGCUCCCCGAGUGGUCGGGAUGAUUAUUGGGCCUAAAGCAUCCGUAGCCGGUUCCGUAGGUCUCCUGUUAAAUUCAACGGCUCAACCGUUGAGCUGCAGGAGAUACCGCGGGGCUAGGAGGCGGGAGAGGCGGACGGUACUCCGUGGGUAGGGGUAAAAUCCUCUGAUCCUCGGAAGACCACCAGUGGCGAAGGCGGUCCGCCAGAACGCGCUCGACGGUGAGGGAUGAAAGCUGGGGGAGCGAACCGGAUUAGAUACCCGGGUAGUCCCAGCUGUAAACGAUGCGAGCUAGGUGAUAGAAUGAUUUCGUAUCAUUCUAGUGCCGCAGGGAAGCCGUUAAGCUCGCCGCCUGGGGAGUACGGCCGCAAGACUGAAACUUAAAGGAAUUGGCGGGGGAGCAC